GAAAUGCGAUAACUAGUGUGAAUUGCAGAAUUCCGUGAAUCAUCGAGUCUUUGAACGCACAUUGCGCCCCCUGGUAUUCCGGGGGGCAUGCCUGUCCGAGCGUCAUUGCUGCCCAUCAAGCACGGCUUGUGUGUUGGGUCGUCGUCCCCUUUCCGGGGGGGACGGGCCCCAAAGGCAGCGGCGGCACCGCGUCCGAUCCUCGAGCGUAUGGGGCUUUGUCACCCGCUCUGUAGGCCCGGCCGGCGCUUGCCGAACGCAAAUCAAUCUUUUUCCAGGUUGACCUCGGAUCAGGUAGGGAUACCCGCUGAACUUAAGC
rnacentral:misc_RNA from 1 species